rnacentral:rRNA from 1 species
GACGAACGCUGGCGGCGUGCUUAACACAUGCAAGUCGAACGAUGAACCCGGAGCUUGCUCCGGCGGAUUAGUGGCGAACGGGUGAGUAACACGUGAGUAACCUGCCCUUGACUCUGGGAUAACUGCUAGAAAUGGUAGCUAAUAACGGAUACGACCCUCGGUGGGAUCAACAGGGGGUGGAAAGAAUUUCGGUCAAGGAUGGACCCUAGGCCUAUCAUCUAGUUGGUGAGGUAACGGCUCACCAAGGCGACGACGGGUAGCCGGCCUGAGAGGGUGACCGGCCACACUGGGACUGAGACACGGCCCAUACGCCUACGGGAGGCAGCAGUGGAGGAUAUUGCACAAUGGGCGCAAGCCUGAUGCAGCAACGCCGCGUGAGGGAUGACGGCCUUCGGGUUGUAACCUCUUUCAGCACCGACGAAGCGCAAGUGACGGUAGGUGCAGAAGAAGGACCGGCCAACUACGUGCCAGCCGCCGCCGUAA